UCCAUUGCAGCUGUCCUGUCACAGUUGAAGCGAGUUAAUGAGUGGUUGGAUCGAGUUGUAUCGAAAAGGGAUGAUCUACUGAAUGAAAAGGUUGAUCGGCUCAAGAGAAAGAUCUAUGGCUUUGUCAUUCAACAUGUUGGGACGACGUUUGACAAUUCCUCACCUCGUGCUUCAUCUUGAUUUCAUAUUUUAGGCUGGCCUUUCUGGAUUAAUCAAGGAUAGAGAUUUGAGUCUCUUUGCUAUUGAUUCACUUACUAUCCAAUUAAUUAUGCUUUUUCAACUCCCCCUUGAGGAUGUGAAUUGAGUCGCUUCUAAUUGUAAGAUAUGGUUCUCUAGUUAUAUUGGCAUUUUGAUUUGAAUUCUGGUAUAUUUACUAAUGUGAAGAAAAGCCAUUCCAUAUUAUCCAUUUUCACAAUUCAUGAUCCUCAAUGUCAUUCAGAUUUGAUAAAGGCAAAUUACCAGAAAGUAGUUUCCUUCACUGUGGAUGUGAAAAAGCUAUGAAUGUGAAUGUGAAAACGCUUGGAAGAAUCCUUCCAGCAGAAAUGCCUACCUUAUUAGAAGUUGCUAACAUGUAACUAAGGUCUAGACUGGGAUUAUUUUUAGAUGUAAGUAAUACUUGAAAACGAAACCUUUCCAUAAAGCUAUGGAAUUUGCCUAUGCGGCCGGACCCUGGGGAGCUACAUCAUGGGAUGUGUAGGAAGGAAAGCAUCCGCAAUCCGCACGAGACCGGUGGGAAGAUACACAUAGUUUAGAGUUGGUUGAUAAGGAUUCCGACAGGUAUAUGGCACUUCCACCAUCUGCAAAGCAGACUUCUGAGGGCCAAAUGUGUAGCAAUCAUAAUGAAAAUAGUGUGGGAACUGGCAGGCCACACAAAGGAUCUCUCUUUCACGAAACGGGCUACGGCAGAUGGGGCAUGAUUGAUUGAGAACAAAUGACAUUUUUCUCUUCUGUGUUUCUUUGUGAGCUUCUUGCUAUUUUGUUACUUGAAAGAAGAACAAAGAGGUUUGCUUUUCCCAAACAAAGUUUUGUCAUAAAUGUAGAGGGAAAGCAUAUAAGAAGCAUGUCUGGUUAUACACAUGCAGAAAAGGAGGAGCAUAGGAAAUCGAUGAGCCUAAGUGCCUAACCACCAGAUAUGCUUCUACAAUUUGCAUUUCUGGAGUUCAUACUAUUUAUGAGAACAAGCAUAUAGGGCAAUCCUAGUUCACCAAUACUUGCAAGAUUUUACCCUGUUUCCCAUGGAGAUGGAUGAGUCUUAUUAAAGUUGAAACCAAUCCUUUCUACCAUGUUCACUGUACAUUUCCAUAGAUAUAAGAAAGACACAUCAUGAAAUGGUGGUGGAUGCAUAUAUUCAAUAGCUAUACGCCUAUACCAUACAAGAUUUCAAAAAGAGACUUGAUAUUAUAGCAAGAGUUGUCUGUACUGUAUUGGGUGAGGAUAACCCAAAUAACAUAAAUCACAUUAUCCGAUCAGAAUAAAAGAUUUUGUUUAUAUUUAUAUCGACAAUCAAAUAUGAUGUUAAUAAGUAUUGAUACACUUACUUAAAAUU
rnacentral:lncRNA from 1 species